UAACACAUGCAAGUCGAACGGUAGCACAGGGGAGCUUGCUCCCUGGGUGACGAGUGGCGGACGGGUGAGUAAUGUCUGGGGAUCUGCCCGAUGGAGGGGGAUAACUACUGGAAACGGUAGCUAAUACCGCAUAACGUCGCAAGACCAAAGUGGGGGACCUUCGGGCCUCACACCAUCGGAUGAACCCAGAUGGGAUUAGCUAGUAGGUGGGGUAACGGCUCACCUAGGCGACGAUCCCUAGCUGGUCUGAGAGGAUGACCAGCCACACUGGAACUGAGACACGGUCCAGACUCCUACGGGAGGCAGCAGUGGGGAAUAUUGCACAAUGGGCGCAAGCCUGAUGCAGCCAUGCCGCGUGUAUGAAGAAGGCCUUCGGGUUGUAAAGUACUUUCAGCGGGGAGGAAGGGAUGAGGGUUAAUAACCUUCGUCAUUGACGUUACCCGCAGAAGAAGCACCGGCUAACUCCGUGCCAGCAGCCGCGGUAAUACGGAGGGUGCAAGCGUUAAUCGGAAUUACUGGGCGUAAAGCGCACGCAGGCGGUUUGUUAAGUCAGAUGUGAAAUCCCCGGGCUCAACCUGGGAACUGCAUUUGAAACUGGCAAGCUUGAGUCUCGUAGAGGGGGGUAGAAUUCCAGGUGUAGCGGUGAAAUGCGUAGAGAUCUGGAGGAAUACCGGUGGCGAAGGCGGCCCCCUGGACGAAGACUGACGCUCAGGUGCGAAAGCGUGGGGAGCAAACAGGAUUAGAUACCCUGGUAGUCCACGCCGUAAACGAUGUCGACUUGGAGGUUGUGCCCUUGAGGCGUGGCUUCCGGAGCUAACGCGUUAAGUCGACCGCCUGGGGAGUACGGCCGCAAGGUUAAAACUCAAAUGAAUUGACGGGGGCCCGCACAAGCGGUGGAGCAUGUGGUUUAAUUCGAUGCAACGCGAAGAACCUUACCUGGCCUUGACAUCCACGGAAUUUGGCAGAGAUGCCUUAGUGCCUUCGGGAACCGUGAGACAGGUGCUGCAUGGCUGUCGUCAGCUCGUGUUGUGAAAUGUUGGGUUAAGUCCCGCAACGAGCGCAACCCUUAUCCUUUGUUGCCAGCGAGUAAUGUCGGGAACUCAAAGGAGACUGCCGGUGAUAAACCGGAGGAAGGUGGGGAUGACGUCAAGUCAUCAUGGCCCUUACGGCCAGGGCUACACACGUGCUACAAUGGCGCAUACAAAGAGAAGCGACCUCGCGAGAGCAAGCGGACCUCAUAAAGUGCGUCGUAGUCCGGAUCGGAGUCUGCAACUCGACUCCGUGAAGUCGGAAUCGCUAGUAAUCGUAGAUCAGAAUGCUACGGUGAAUACGUUCCCGGGCCUUGUACACACCGCCCGUCACACCAUGGGAGUGGGUUGCAAAAGAAGUAGGUAGCUUAACCUUCGGGAGGGCGCUUACCA
rnacentral:rRNA from 1 species